CACGUAGGGCGCAAGCGUUGUCCGGAAUCAUUGGGCGUAAAGAGCUCGUAGGCGGUUUGUUACGUCUGCUGUGAAAACUGGGGGCUUAACCCCCAGCUUGCAGUGGAUACGGGCAGACUAGAGGUAGGUAGGGGAGAAUGGAAUUCCCGGUGUAGCGGUGAAAUGCGCAGAUAUCGGGAGGAACACCGGUGGCGAAGGCGGUUCUCUGGGCCUUACCUGACGCUGAGGAGCGAAAGCGUGGGGAGCGAACAGG
rnacentral:rRNA from 1 species